UAUACAUUCCACUGUCAUUUAAUUUCUUUGAUUCAUUCAUAUUUUUCUUGGAUGUGAAAAAAUGGGAUGAACUUAUUAUACAAGCAGUUUCAAUUUUUAUAAUAGAUAUAUAUUAUCCAAAUCUUAAGUUUUCAAUGAAUAUAAUGUGUUUUUGUGUAGGAUGAACUAAAGAAGCAUAUGAUAGAGGCAGAAACCUCAGAAAACCCACAUGCCACAAUAGGUUCUACAAAUUGGAAGAAUGACAUAUUCUCAAAAGUGAAAGGGCCUGAAAAAAGAGGACGUGUACGUUGUCUUGGUAAGCUUCCACGACGUGUAAAUUCAAAUGUUUCAUCUGAAAACUCCAAUGCAGAAAAUAGAAUACAAAAGUUAGAAAAGUUGUUGGGAAAUAUUGUUGUGGUCUUUCAAAGAAAAUUUUCAGAAGAUCCAGAAAUCAAUAAUGUUUUACAUGCUGUAGCUCAAGAGAUACCUGAUAUUGCAAAUACUAAAGAUUUCUGUUAGAUCUUGAUGACAGUAGAGACUUGGUGAAGGUACAAAAUUAUACACUAAUCGAACACUGUUGGACUUCUUGUUGAAACUUUGAAGCAUAGAAAAUACUUCUAUGACUAAAGACCUUUGUGGCAAUAAGGAUAGAAAACUUAUUUGGUGCUUUUGUGGUUUUGAAUUCAAUAAAAUAAAAGAGAAGAUUUUAGUAUAGAGAUAAUAUUUCUUUUAGAGCAAACUAUGAGCUCAUUAUCGCUAUCCAAUAUAUCUGAAUGUUUGAAGAA